AGUACUAGUAUAGGUAUAUCGUGUCAACAAUGAAAGAGGAAGCUUCGUACUUGGUUUUGAUGAUUGUUAUAACUUUCAAUCCUGCAGAAUCUUUUUUUGAAUAUGGUGCUCACAAAAUAGGAGAGGCUGAGUCGUUGAGAUACCAUGGUGUAAUACCUGCAUUCAGAUCCAAAUUUAAAGUUAAUGUCUCACACAACCGUACCGAUCUUGAAGACAACUACACCUACUUAAGCGUCGUAGCCACGGGUACGAUUGUGAUAAGUCAUCCGAUCGUCGUGUUUGAUUCAUACACAAACAUGCUGACCUUACAUGUCAGAUAUCCCUUAUUCCCGAUGAAAUUCUUUGUCAACGGUUUCUCUAUGCCGCUAAAACCAGCGCUUCGGUUUCACCAACCUAUCAGGAUAAAUGAAAACGAUGUUCCAGGACCGAAAAGCAAUAACAAUUUUACGGUAGUUUUUUCCAAUAUUUGUAUACUGUGUUCUAAAUGCUGUAUGAAUAAUACUCGAAAACACAUAUUUUAUUUGCUUAGACUAUAAAAAAUGGGCCUUUAUGUUAUAUACGUAUUUAAAAGUUCAAUAAAAUAUAAACAUAUUA